CCUACGGGAGGCAGCAGUGAGGAAUAUUGGUCAAUGGACGAGAGUCUGAACCAGCCAAGUAGCGUGAAGGAUGACUGCCCUAUGGGUUGUAAACUUCUUUUAUAUGGGAAUAAAAUGUUCCACGUGUGGGAUUUUGUAUGUACCAUAUGAAUAAGGAUCGGCUAACUCCGUGCCAGCAGCCGCGGUAAUACGGAGGAUCCGAGCGUUAUCCGGAUUUAUUGGGUUUAAAGGGAGCGUAGGUGGAGUGUUAAGUCAGUUGUGAAAGUUUGCGGCUCAACCGUAAAAUUGCAGUUGAAACUGGCAGUCUUGAGUACAGUAGAGGUGGGCGGAAUGCGUGGUGUAGCGGUGAAAUGCUUAGAUAUCACGCAGAACUCCGAUUGCGAAGGCAGCUUACUGGACUGCAACUGACACUGAGGCUCGAAAGUGUGGGUAUCAAACAGGAUUAGAUACCCUGGUAGUC
rnacentral:rRNA from 1 species